UUUUCAUUAUAAAUAUGUCUGAUGCAAUAUUUCAGACAUACUUAUGUUAAGA
rnacentral:pre_miRNA from 1 species